rnacentral:rRNA from 1 species
GACGUAGGGUGCAAGCGUUGUCCGGAAUUAUUGGGCGUAAAGAGUUCGUAGGCGGUUAUUUAAGUCUGGUGUUAAAGACGGGAGCUCAACUCCCGCAUGGCAUUGGAAACUGGAUAGCUAGAGUACGGUAGAGGUCUCGGGAAUUCCAGGUGUAGCGGUGAAAUGCGCAGAUAUCGGGAGGAACACCAAUGGCGAAGGCAGCUUGCUGGGACGGUACUGACGCUGAGACGCGAAAGCGUGGGGAGCAAACAGG